UACGUAGGGUGCAAGCGUUGUCCGGAAUUAUUGGGCGUAAAGGGCUCGUAGGCGGUCCAUCGCGUCGGGAGUGAAAAGCUGGGGCUUAACCCCAGUCCUGCUUCCGAUACGGGUGGACUAGAGGUAGGUAGGGGAGAACGGAAUUCCUGGUGUAGCGGUGAAAUGCGCAGAUAUCAGGAGGAACACCGGUGGCGAAGGCGGCAUCCUGGACCGGCAUUGACGCUGAGGAGCGAAAGCCAGGGGAGCAAACGGG
rnacentral:rRNA from 1 species